ACCCUGAAGCUUUUUAGAGCAUGGGACUCUUAAUCCCAGGGUCGUGGGUUCGAGCCCCACUUUGGGCG
rnacentral:tRNA from 1 species